GUGCCAGCCGCCGCGGUAAUACCGGCAGCCCGAGUGAUGUCCCAUCUUAUUGGGCCUAAAGCGUCCGUAGCUGGCCGCGCAAGUCCGUCGGGAAAUCCACUCGCCCAACGCGUGGGCGUCCGGCGGAAACUGCACAGCUUGGGACCGGAAGGCUCGAAGGGUACGUUCGGGGUAGGAGUGAAAUCCCAUAAUCCCGCACGGACCACCGAUGGCGAAAGCACUUCGAGAAAACGGAUCCGACAGUGAGGGACGAAAGCCAGGGUCUCGAACCGGAUUAGAAACCCCAGUAGUCC
rnacentral:rRNA from 1 species